rnacentral:misc_RNA from 1 species
UUAAAACGUUUAGUUUUAUGCCACUCAGCAAUACAACCAUAACUGGAGAAUAAAGAGAAAAGAGCUAUGCAUUGCCCAACCCGGUCCAGCCAAGCGGCCAGACCGGAAGCAACGUAUAGCAUACGAGGUAGGUUCACAAAGGGUAAGAGAGCAAAAAAUGCAACUCAGUAAUGAUCCCUCCGCUGGUUCACCAACGGAGA